GCGCUUAUAGCUCAAUGGCAGAGCACUUGAUUGUGGAUCAAGGGGUUGUGGGUUCGAGCCCCACUAAGCGCC
rnacentral:tRNA from 1 species